CUUUUUUUUUUUUUUUUUUUUUUGCUAUCUCCCAAGUUUCUAAGGCUAUUUUGUGCCUUUUAUGGAGUUACAGAGAAUUAAGGAAAUAGUGGUUUUGAGUGAAGGGAAACUGAAAGAUACAUCUUUUCUUGAUUUCCCGGACCCCACCCUGAGCCAUGUGACAUCUGUGAUAACGUCUGGGUUUCCGCAGCUCAAGUCAACAGGAAUUUUUCUUUCCUAGGAAGCCGAAAUGGAAAGUCAUUCCUCAUAAAUUAGCGCAUGCCCUGGCUCUACCUUUUAGAAGCCGUGUUUCUCUUUCCUCAGGGACUGGCGGGCCAGCUUUGUGUGCUCCUGUCUUUGAACCGUUGGAUUCCCCCAAAGUGUGUCCUAAGUCCUGCUCUGAGUCUGCAGCCCGGAUCCUGGGGGCAUUCCCUCCCGCUGGAGGCUGUAGCUCUGGGUUUCAGUUCCGACACUGCCUCCACUUUGUUUCUGUGUCUCUGCCUCGCCGUCCCCGUGGGGGAGACGCAUCAGAGCUGUGCUAACGGGGAAGCACUGUCCCCCACACAGUGUACAGCUGCUGUUCAGCAGACAUGUCAGGCAAGCAGUGACGCGUGUUCCUCCUCACUAGAGAAAAUGUUCUUUCUGUGCUGAAUUUUGCAGUCAAAAGCAUGAUUAGAAAUAGAACAAUAACUUCCUAUUUUGAUACAGACAAACGGAGCACAGUUCAGCUGAAUUAGGAUGGAUCUUACAGACCUGGUUCAGAUUUCUUGGGUCAGCUGUCUGCCACUGCUGUUGUCUUCUUCUCAUCCUCUGUUGCUGUUGUUUGAGGUCAGCAGUCCUUUCUCUAGACCAGUACAGUGCAGGAGUUAUUUAAGAGUCAACUUCUUAUAGUUUCACCGUGCAUGAGCUACUGAAGAAUACCUGCUAAGGGUCCUUUCACUGAGUUUGGAGAGAGUGCUGUCUUUUCCAGUACAUAUAAUGUCCUGGUUGUGGAUCAUGGGACAUCUUGUCUUCAUCCAGAGAGUACCGUGAUCAGCUUCAGAAAAAAGCUUAGACUAUUCCUCUAAUAACGUAAGUAAACUUUAUAAUAUAGCAGCAAGGGGUUAUCUUGUAUAUAGAUAAUACAAAACGUUAGUAUCCACAAAGGUAUAUUAUCAAAACACACACUCAAUUACUCAUUUCUACCAAAGCUAGCCAAAUAAAGACGAAUUUCUUUGCAAAGAAAUAAGUCUGGUUACAAUAAACUUGGCCUGAUUGGUUACAUAAGUGUAAUUGAUGGUAUAGGAGCUUUUAAAUUGUCUGGGCUAGAACUUUUCAUAAGGAAUAUCAAAUUGAACUUUUAAAAGACCUCUCAAGGCCAGGCAAGUUAUAUCCAGGACUUGCCCUCAGAUUUUGCCUGCAAUAGCUGUGGAUUCGAGAGAAUUCCUCUCUUCUCCAGGUCCCUAAAGUAUCUUGAUAUUCCUGCUCCUCUAAGGAGGUGAGCUCCCUUAUCCAGCUGUUGGGCCUCUGAGUUUCCUUCCAGUUUCUGGAGGGAUCAGGUCAAGAGAAAAGAUAAAUGUUGCAGUUCCACUUGCAACGGUAUAACUUACCAAGUUGUUAUAAAGGGGUUUUUCUUAUGUCUAGAAAAGCACGAAUUAAAAGCCAGUCAUAGUUCAGACAGAACCUGUAAAAAUUAUAACCCUUUUCAUCAGUUCACUCAAUUCUAUGCAACUAAUCCUUGGUCUUAAACAAGCAGUUUUAGGAAACCAUCAGGGUUCCUAUCAGAAUUUCUUACCCAGUCCAGCAGUAUGAUCUGGCAGUUGUCAAAACUCUUGCACUUGUCAAAAAAGUCCUUCCUAUGAAUCUCCUUAAAGACGAAACAUUUUUUGCAAAAGUGCCAGUGAAAUACCAUCUAUUGAAGGACGAGACGGCACAGUUGAAGACUGAUGACAGUGCAGUUGACAAAGAAGCUUAACUAGGCGGCUGUAACACACAACUUUUAAAGAUGACAAGAACUAUGACUGAUAAUACCAGGACGUAUCCAAAUUUUAGGAACUUCGUAUAAUUUCUAGAAGCCUUAAUGACAUUUAUGCAUAAAAUGUUAUCUCUGAAGUUGAUCACUAUGCACUUGAUAAUGCUUCCCGGGUAAUGUAACACACCAAAUAAUCCCAAAUUAGUUCACUUAUUUCUUUCUCUGAGAUGCCUCAGGGGCCCUUUGAACAGUCCCAGUGUUAGCUAAGGGUCAAGAGAACUCUUAGGACUUUUUUGUUUAGUGCCACACCCAUGCAUAUGGAAAUUCCUGGGUCAGAGAUUGAAUCUGAGCCGCAGUUGAGUCAAUGCCAGAUCCUUUAACCCACUGUGCCAGUCUGGGGAUCCAACCUGUGCUUCUGCAGCAACCUGAGAUGCUUCAGUCAGAAUCCUAACCCACUGUGCCACAGCAGGAACUCCCAAUUUAGAAUUUGAUUUGAAGUUUGUCAAAAAUAGUUUUAUGAAAAGACAGCCUACAGAAUGGCAGAAAGUAUUUGCAAAUGAUACGACCAGCAGGAGGUUAAUUUCCAAAAUAUUUAAACACCUCAAUAUAAAAAAUAAAAAUAAAAAUAAAUGGGCGGAGGAUCUAAAUAGGCAUUUCUCCAAAGAAGACAACUGACAGCCAGAAAGCACAUGCAAAGAUGUUCAGCGUUGCUGAUGCUUAGAGAAAGGUACAUCAGAACUGCAACGAGGUAUCACCUCACACUGGUCGGAAUGGGCAGCAGCCAAAGGGAGGCAGACAGGAAAUGCUGGAGGCGGGGUGGAGAAAGGGAACCCCCCUGCCCUCGAAAGGGAAUGUAGUCCUGCAGCCACUAUGGCAGACAUUACGGAGGUUCUCGAAAAAACUAAAAACGGUUACCCUGUGAUCCAGUGAUCCCACUCCUGGGCAUCUCUCUGGAGAAACCAGUAAUCCAAAAAAAAAAAAAAAAAAA
ensembl:lncRNA